rnacentral:rRNA from 1 species
ACGGAGGGUGCAAGCGUUGUCCGGAUUUAUUGGGUUUAAAGGGUGCGUAGGUGGGCUAUUAAGUCAGUGGUGAAAGCCUGCAGCUCAACUGUAGAACCGCCAUUGAUACUGAUAGUCUUGAGUAUGGUUGAGGUAAGCGGAAUUUAUGGUGUAGCGGUGAAAUGCAUAGAUACCAUAAGGAACACCGAUAGCGAAGGCAGCUUACUGGACCGUCACUGACACUGAUGCACGAAAGCGUGGGGAGCAAACAGG